rnacentral:sRNA from 1 species
CUAACUAUGCAGCAUCAAAAGAAAAAGAUGAUAACGAUUUAUCUAUCUUAGUUGGUGGUGCUGGAUUCACUGGUGUUGAAUUCUUAGGUG